UGAACAUUGAGCCUUGAUGUGUAGGAUAGGUGGGAGGCUUUGAAGCGUGGACGCCAGUCUGCGUGGAGCCGGCCUUGAAAUACCACCCUUUAAUGUUUGAUGUUCUAACGUGGACCCGUGAUCCGGGUUGCGGACAGUGUCUGGUGGGUAGUUUGACUGGGGCGGUCUCCUCCUAAAGAGUAACGGAGGAGCACGAAGGUUGGCUAAUCCUGGUCGGACAUCAGGAGGUUAGUGCAAUGGCAUAAGCCAGCUUGACUGCGAGCGUGACGGCGCGAGCAGGUGCGAAAGCAGGUCAUAGUGAUCCGGUGGUUCUGAAUGGAAGGGCCAUCGCUCAACGGAUAAAAGGUACUCCGGGGAUAACAGGCUGAUACCGCCCAAGAGUUCAUAUCGACGGCGGUGUUUGGCACCUCGAUGUCGGCUCAUCACAUCCUGGGGCUGAAGUAGGUCCCAAGGGUAUGGCUGUUCGCCAUUUAAAGUGGUACGCGAGCUGGGUUUAGAACGUCGUGAGACAGUUCGGUCCCUAUCUGCCGUGGGCGCUGGAGAACUGAGGGGGGCUGCUCCUAGUACGAGAGGACCGGAGUGGACGCAUCACUGGUGUUCGGGUUGUCAUGCCAAUGGCACUGCCCGGUAGCUAAAUGCGGAAGAGAUAAGUGCUGAAAGCAUCUAAGCACGAAACUUGCCCCGA
rnacentral:rRNA from 1 species